ensembl:lncRNA
UUCAUUUAUUAGUUGUGUGACAAUGUAGCAGGACACUUUUCUGUAUUCUUCAUGACAUGACAUGUACAAUGACUGACAGCGAUCUAAACAGUCUGUAUCAUCGUAUCGUAUUCUUACCGGACAGAUUUUAGCAGCUGAUACCAAAAUGUUGCUCGCAUGUAACCUAAGGCCAUGAAGCUCCACCUUCACGAUGGAGGUACAACAUAAAGAGUUAAGUACAUUAAAGUACUGUGCAAAAACUAAGGUGCUGGCUGCCACCAUUUCUCAAACACGCACAGAUCACAAAAGGCAAACUGAUCUGCGUCCAGUGAUUGAUCGACUCACCCACGGGCCAAAGUUAGCAGGGAGAAGAACCAGAGUAGAGCCGAGCAGUCGCAUUUCUUUGUGCUUUUACAGUAAACCGGGUGACUUGGGCUGUAGACAUUUUUAAAAAGUGGCCAGGAGAUUGGAUUAGAUUGAGGCAUCAACUUGAUGCCAAGAAAAUUAACAAAGCAAAAAUGCAACUGACAUGCAAGCCAAACCCAGGCUCUGACGGUGGCACCUGCCAGCGUGAAUGAUUUCUGUUUGAGUUUCAUGAACAUGUUCGCUGCAGAUUUUAUAGACACAUUAGAAGAGUCCAACCUUGUGGAUGUUUUAAAGGUCCCAUAUGGUGAAAAGCCACUUUUCUUGAGUUUUGUAGCUGUUAUAGACCAGAGACCUGCACUAUGAAGCAAGUUUGACAGAGUCAGGCUUUGUUUUUGUAAGUCGACAUAACAAAAAAUACAGUAACAGUCAGAUAUAACAGGUAUCACAAAGGUGGUCAUCAACUAUUCUCCUUUAUCUCAGACUUUCUGGUUCAGAGUCCCAUAAAAAGGGGCUUUGAUGCAUCAUGUGAAUCUCCUUCUUCUUCUUUAGUUGACAGGUUGUUUUAAUGGAGAACAAUAAGGAAUCUAAAAAUUUCCGAUGUUACGUGUGGCUGGCUGCUGUGUCUCUCCUUGCUCUCUCUGAUCUCCCUCCUCCCUUUACCUGUGCAACUGCAGCACACCUGAGUGCUGCAGGAGAGAGCAGCAGUCAGAGCAGAGAUUCAAGCACAACAAAGCCACACGUCCUCCCGGACAAACACGUGAGGGGUUUUGUUUUGUUUGUAAACUUUUCUUUUGUGAUUAACAUUGAGUUCUUUCUUUUCAGGUAUUUGAUUCAUUCCCUCCCCAUGCAUGUUUAGAUUGCUGGGUUUUGUUGUUUUAGUUUGGCUGUAGUUGCUGGUAGUCCUGUUUUCGCUGUUUUUUUCUUUCGUAGCAGUUAUUUGUGGUUAGGCAGUUUAGUAGGGGGUGGUGACUGGUCCGAGAGCCCACUGUGUGGUUAGCCAUGUUCACCACCCCUCUUUUGUUCCUUUUGGCCAGCAGCUACAGCCCUUUUCUUUCACCAUUAUUUCUACCUUGAUUAGUUGCGUUAUUUGUAAAUAAAGCUGGGGGUUUUUUUCCCUUCAUCAAUUUACCUGCUGUGUCUGUGUCCAGUUCAUAUGUUGCCGGUCUCUUUGUUUGUUUGAGCUUUAAACUCGUUAAUUUUAAAGAGGUCGUAACACCAACCUUGAAGAAGAAACGCUGCAGGAAUGUGUGUUAAUAUAACUUAUUUUACCGAUCAAUGCAGCCGCUUAUCCCGAACUGAAAGCUGCACAUUAGACUGUUAAACUUCAUACGUUUUAACAUGAUAUUGUAUUGGAGUGAAUGCAGGUCUGACACUGUCCCGUAAUGCAGGAUAUCACUUGUAAUUUUUGGCCCAGAUCGAAGCACAAUUAAUGAUAUUGGUUGAAUUUUAUAUGUAAUAAAUACCAGUAGAGUAUUUCAUUUUCUAAUCUGUGUUCUAUCAGCUGCAGUACCAGCAGCGUAAACGGACCAAACAAACAA